CACGUCAACGUGCUUUGCUGACGUGGCAACAAAUCACCCAUUCGUGGACGCGAUUUGUUGCCACGUCAGCAAAGCGCGCUGACGUGG
rfam:Gossypium hirsutum cultivar TM-1 chromosome 25, whole genome shotgun sequence